ensembl:lncRNA
UAAAUUCAAUUUUAUUAAUAUUUUAUUUAAUAUUGUAAUACUACUACUACUACUAAGAAUAAUUGUUAUUAAUAAUAAUAAAUAAAUAAAAUAUAAAUAUACUAUGUCAUCAUGAAUGAGGGUUAGCAGUCGACCUUUCAAUAUUUGUUCUCUAAAAACCACAUUAAGGAAACUUUAGGUCUACUGUAUGUAGCUUAAUGAACAAUCUUUAAACUUAAUGCAUGUCCAUUAAAAAAAAAAACAUAUGUAACACCUUAACAUUAAACUAUUAGCCUACUUUUAUAAUUAAAGAAUAAAUAUUACUUGAUACUUUAUUUUAGAAUACUACUACUACUGCUACUACUAUUAUUACUAUUAUCUUUGGGCUUUAUCUUUGAAUCUAUUAAUAUUAAUCAAUAUACGCAAACUUCAUUUCAGCCUCCGUUUAACCUUGUUUUACAUUUGACAUUUCAGCUCUAAGUUUUGGUGUAGGUGUUUGAUGUCAGAAGUUUGUGACCCCUCCCUUACCUACAGGUUUCAAAGCCUUCUCCACAUAGUGACUCUUUAUUCUAGAAGCCUCCAGAAGAGUCAGAGAGCGGAGAGAAUGCAGUCAUUCCGGAGGCGCGGGGCGUGGCUCUGCCAGCUGACUCUGACUCACGCGCGUCAUGUGAUUUCCUUUGUUUACAUCUCCAUAUCUAAUAGCACUGAUAAUGAGCUCAUAGAUGAAUCAGUACUCCCCUUCAGAGGCUACACAAGAUAGUUACCUUUUUCUCAGAAGACAAAAUAAGUUAAAUUUACCCUGAUCUUAAAAAUCAAAACAUUUUCACCCCCCGGCUCUUAAUGCAUGGUUUUUCCUUCUGGAGCAUCGGUGAGUGUUUGAACCUUCUGUAAUAGUUGCAACCGUUCCUCGGUUGUCCUCAGUGUGAAAAGAUGGAUCUCAGAAUCAUACAGUCAUUUUUGAAAAAGGUUCAAAUAUGCAAUAGAUGCUGGAAAACCAAAGAAUGUACAGGAGCUGGAGGAUUUUUCUGAAGAACAGCAGGCAGUUUAACUGUUGAGGACCAACACAGGACUCAUGAACAACUAUCACAAAACAGAAAAACAGUCGUGGAUCAUCCAGGAAAUCACACAAAGUAUUAAGAUUUAAGGGUUCAGAUAAUUCAUUAAUAAAGUUCAGUUAUUGUUUUUUCUUGUGGAGUAU